AGAGGAUUUUGAUUCCUCAGUUACAGGUUCGACCCCUGU
rnacentral:tRNA from 2 species